rnacentral:lncRNA from 1 species
GGAUAACGGUACUCCGUGACAAUCAAGUCGGUUACUUCAGUUUCCCAUAAUAACUGAUAUUCUGAGGCGAAGGUAUGGACAGAAACGAGAUUCUAACGAAGCUUCACAAGCGAUUCCCUUCACUUCCUCAGAAUGCCCUCCUUACGAUCUAUAAAGCUCGGUCCGAACGCAUGCGAUUACUCAUGAGAAAUAACAUACCUGCUGACAUCCGUUGGUUAAUCGAGGCUAAAGUACGAUCGGCAGGUGAGUUACCUCCAAAAUUUAUUGCAUACAUGCCUGGUUGUGGUAAAGGAAAUUAUGCAAGAAAACGACGAGCUCGAAGAAUUUCUGUUGCUUGUCAUAAGUGUGCCAGAAUGA